rnacentral:rRNA from 1 species
UGUGUGUGUUAGUGGAAGCGUCUGGAAAGGCGUGCGAUACAGGGUGACAGCCCCGUACACAAAAAUGCACAUAUUGUGAGCUUGAUGAGUAGGGCGGGACACGUGGUAUCCUGUCUGAAUAUGGGGGGACCAUCCUCCAAGGCUAAAUACUCCUGACUGACCGAUAGUGAACCAGUACCGUGAGGGAAAGGCGAAAAGAACCCCGGCGAGGGGAGUGAAAAAGAACCUGAAACCGUGUACGUACAAGCAGUGGGAGCACGCUUAGGCGUGUGACUGCGUACCUUUUGUAUAAUGGGUCAGCGACUUAUAUUCUGUAGCAAGGUUAACCGAAUAGGGGAGCCGAAGGGAAACCGAGUCUUAACUGGGCGUUAAGUUGCAGGGUAUAGACCCGAAACCCGGUGAUCUAGCCAUGGGCAGGUUGAAGGUUGGGUAACACUAACUGGAGGACCGAACCGACUAAUGUUGAAAAAUUAGCGGAUGACUUGUGGCUGGGGGUGAAAGGCCAAUCAAACCGGGAGAUAGCUGGUUCUCCCCGAAAGCUAUUUAGGUAGCGCCUCGUGAAUUCAUCUCCGGGGGUAGAGCACUGUUUCGGCAAGGGGGUCAUCCCGACUUACCAACCCGAUGCAAACUGCGAAUACCGGAGAAUGUUAUCACGGGAGACACACGGCGGGUGCUAACGUCCGUCGUGAAGAGGGAAACAACCCAGACCGCCAGCUAAGGUCCCAAAGUCAUGGUUAAGUGGGAAACGAUGUGGGAAGGCCCAGACAGCCAGGAUGUUGGCUUAGAAGCAGCCAUCAUUUAAAGAAAGCGUAAUAGCUCACUGGUCGAGUCGGCCUGCGCGGAAGAUGUAACGGGGCUAAACCAU